rnacentral:rRNA from 1 species
GACGAACGCUGGCGGCGUGCUUAACACAUGCAAGUCGAACGCUGACGCUUGGUGCGUGCGCUGUGUGGAUGAGUGGCGGACGGGUGAGUAAGACGUGAGUAACCUGCCCUUUACUCUGGGAUAAGCCUGGGAAACUGGGUCUAAUACUGGAUAUGACAUGCCACGGCAUGGUGGUGUGGGGAAUGGGAUUUACUGGGUUUGGAUGGGCUCACGGCCUAUCAGCUUGUUGGCGGGGUAAUGGCCUACCAAGGCGACGACGGGUAGCCGGCCUGAGAGGGUGAACGCCGUCCCUGGGCCUGCGACACGGCCCAGAGUCCUACGGGGGGCAGCGGUGGCGAAUCUUGCCCAAUGGGCGGACGCCUGAUGCAGCGACGCCGCGUUUGUGAUGACGGCCUUCGGGUUGUAAACCUCUUUCAGCUAGGACGAAGCGAGACUGACGGUACGUGCAGAAGAAGCGCCGGCUAACUACGUG